CCAAGCCUAAGUACUCCUCAGUGACCGAUAGUGCACCAGUACCGUGAGGGAAAGGUGAAAAGCACCCCGACAAGGGGAGUGAAACAGUUCCUGAAACCGGAUGCCUACAAGCAGUCGGAGCCUCUUUACGGGGUGACGGCGUACCUUUUGUAUAAUGGGUCAGCGACUUAGAGUAUGCAGCAAGCUUAAGCCGAUAGGUGGAGGCGCAGCGAAAGCGAGUCUGAAUAGGGCGACCGAGUUGCAUGCUUUAGACCCGAAACCUGAUGAUCUAGCCAUGGGCAGGUUGAAGGUGCGGUAACACGCACUGGAGGACCGAACUCACGCCUGUUGAAAAAGUCGGAGAUGACCUGUGGCUAGGGGUGAAAGGCCAAUCAAAUCAGGAAAUAGCUGGUUCUCCGCGAAAGCUAUUUAGGUAGCGCGUCGGAUAUUGCCUGCGGGGGUAGAGCACUGGAUGGGCUAGGGGGACGCGAGUCUUACCAAACCUAACCAAACUCCGAAUACCGCAGAGCAGAGUCCGGCAGACAGACGGUGGGUGCUAAGGUCCAUCGUCGAGAGGGAAACAGCCCAGACCGCCAGCUAAGGUCCCCAAAUCACGGCUAAGUGGGAAAGGAUGUGGGAAGGCCAUGACAACCAGGAGGUUGGCUUAGAAGCAGCCAUCCUUUAAAGAAAGCGUAAUAGCUCACUGGUCUAGUUAAGCCGGCCUGCGCCGAAAAUGUAUCGGGGCUCAAGCCGUGUACCGAAGCUGCGGAUGUGAUCUUUGAUCACGUGGUAGCGGAGCGUUCCGUAAGCCUGCGAAGGGCCCUCGUGAGAGUGCCUGGAGGUAUCGGAAGUGAGAAUGCUGACAUGAGUAGCGACAAAGAGUGUGAGAAACACUCUCGCCGAAAGUCCAAGGGUUCCUGCGCAAGGUUAAUCCACGCAGGGUGAGCCGGCCCCUAAGGCGAGGCCGAAAGGCGUAGUCGAUGGGAACCACGUUAAUAAUCGUGGGCCAGCGGGUGGUGACGGAUGGGAAAGCGUGUAGGCUCUUAUCGGAUUGAGCCUGCUGUGGACCCGUUCCAGGAAAUAGCCCCCGCGUUAGACCGUACCCCAAACCGACACAGGUGGACAGGUAGAGUAUACCCAGGCGCUUGAGAGAAUGGUGUUGAAGGAACUCGGCAAAUUGCCCUCGUAACUUCGGAAGAAGAGGGCCCCGUUCAUGCGCAAGCAAGGGCGGGGGGCACAGACCAGGGGGUAGCGACUGUUUACUAAAAACACAGGGCUCUGCGAAGCCACACAAGGCGACGUAUAGGGUCUGACGCCUGCCCGGUGCCGGAAGGUUAAGAGGAGAGGUGCAAGCCUUGAAUCGAAGCCCCGGUAAACGGCGGCCGUAACAAUAA
rnacentral:rRNA from 1 species